AAAUGAAUCGCGUUUUUGAGGGCCUAAACAUGCUCGAAAAGUCCUGAAACUUUGCACACGCGUCAGACCUGGUGAAAAUUUACGUCUGAUAUAGGUUUCAGAAGAGGGUGUGGCAAAAUGGCUCGACAGCGCCACCUAUCGUAAAAAAAUCAACAGCCCUCGAGCUGUGUUUCACGUACAUGCACGAAAAUUGGCACACAUAUGUAAAGCAUCAGUACCUACAAAAAAGACUCUUGGAGCAAUAUCCGAAACCCAACAGGAAGUCGGUUAUUUUUAAUUUUAUGAGCAAAUUUUGCAUCAUUUUUGUCAUUUGCAUGCCUUGUAUUUUA
ensembl:lncRNA